rnacentral:rRNA from 1 species
GGGCCCGCACAAGCAGUGGAGUAUGUGGUUUAAUUCGAAGCAACGCGAAGAACCUUACCAGGUUUUGACAUCCACUGAAUCCUUUAGAGAUAGAGGAGUGCCCUUUCGGGGGAGCAGUGAGACAGGUGGUGCAUGGUUGUCGUCAGCUCGUGUCGUGAGAUGUUGGGUUAAGUCCCGCAACGAGCGCAACCCUUGUCAAUAGUUACUACGAGAAGAGGACUCUAUUGAGACUGCCGUUGAGAAAACGGAGGAAGGUGGGGAUGACGUCAAAUCAUCAUGCCCCUUAUAACCUGGGCUACACACGUACUACAAUGGCCGAAACAGAGGGAAGCGAAACCGCGAGGCGGAGCGAACCCCCAAAAGCGGUCUCAGUUCGGAUUGCAGGCUGAAACUCGCCUGUAUGAAGAUGGAAUUGCUAGUAAUCGCGGAUCAGCAUGCCGCGGUGAAUACGUUCCCGGGCCUU